ensembl:lncRNA
ACGUUCCUAUGCAAGGCAUAGCAUUCUUACACUAGUUACAUCCUGAAGAAAGAAGCAAAACUAGUCAAUGUACUUUAUGUACCACGUGAGAGAUGUAAGGAAUUACACAACAUCUAAACUUCAAAAUGCUCACUUUGUCAAGGUUGUGGAACACCCUUUGAAAAUGUUCACCUUCUGGAAUAAUGGGAUUAUCUGAAAAUACUUGUUUUCAUUAAAAAUUUUGUUUCUGGAGGGAAAAUACAUCAGAAGUCAUUGUUAGAGCUCAGUAUAAAGAUGCUGAACUGGAUGAAGGAAAAUGUCAUUGAUGACUCAGCUAAGUAUCAUUGCUUUGAUUCUUCUAAGUGUAUCUUGUAACCUUCAAGGCUUAUUAACUGCCACAUCAUGAGCUGAAACUGUUUCUAAUACUAUAGCAUGAUUUAUACUGCCUGAAACAGAACUCUAAAUUGUGGUGUCCAUUUGAAAUGUGCACUAGAAAUGGAACUAGAACUCAGUGAAUCCCCUGAGAGUGUUUCUGUUGGUUUCAAUGCAUUUCAGACUGGAUUCACACUUAUCUCUGCAUAUGAACAGAGAAUUUUCUCUUAUAGUAGACUAAUUACCACAAAGGAAGAAUGGCCCAGAAAUUAGAGAAUAAACUUAAGCUUCACUACAACACUCAUAUUUUUCAUUACCUUUCUCUCUCACUUAGGCUUUUGUUGUUUAUUUUUUUCAACGGUAGUAACAAAUCCCAGCAUGCUGUAACUACUGCUUCCAGAGCUCUAUUACUUCAUAGCUGCAUUAAUGUUUCUCUGUGCCUAUGUUAAUGCCGUCUGUGUAUUUAUGUCUGCGCUAUCUUAGGUUAAACUCCUUCUGGACGAAGAAAUGUCUGAACCAUUUAUGCUGUCUGAGUAGUACUGGACGUAUUUUCAGACAAGAAGGGCCAUGGAAUCUUUUACCUGCAGUCCUGAUCACAUAACCACUAGAGCAUUUGUCUAGAAUACAAAGGUUCUCUGCAACAGUAACAAAAUGAAACAACUUCUGUCAUGAAAAAACCUGUGUGUCACAGGACUCCAUACAAUCAUAUCCUCUGGACUGAUGUGCAGGCAACUGAAAGAGCAGGUGCACUUGUUCCUCUAAAUAUCUUUUACUGUUACUGAAGGGAUCAAGGGAAAUACCACCUGAGUUCUCUGUCCUUCAACUAACUGCCCUGAAACUCCUGAAACUUUUUUGUUCAGGACUGGCAGAGACUGCAUUCUUCAAACUAUUGUAUUCAUUGGAUAGUCCAAGACACCAAUUGCACGUGUUUAGAAAUUAUUUCCUAUCCUGCAGUGUUUUGUGAAUCUCUCAGUCUUUACAACGAAUAAAACCACUGUAUUAUUUUCAGAUUCGUGCCUAUGUUAAGAAUUUACUUUUACAGUGAAAUGUUCUGAACUUAUAACCAGGAGAGACAAGUAAAACUGAAAAGUGUUGCUCUGCACAGAACAGUAAGGUAUGCUUUUAGAUGACAUAGAUGAUUCCAUUACAACUCAUUAACUUCUGCAUAGAGGGUUUCCAGCUGUAAAGGGAAUACAUAUUUUGUCUACUGAGGCUCUGAUUUAAUCUGUGCGUACACAAAUAUCUAAUGUCUGCACAAAUGUAUGUGUGCUUACAUAUUCCUACUUAGGAGCAUAUAUAAAAAUAUAUUUGGAUGUUUACAAAGCAGCAAAUAACUGUGGGUAUAAGUAGAAACAUAAUGAAUUUAGUAUUUGAUCACUGAAUAGCUAUGGCUUUAACAGACACCCCCAGUGACUCCCAGAAAUCUCAGUGUUUAUUGCAAUGAAUUUAAAUGAAUUUAUCAAACAAAUAGUUAAGGAUACAAAAAUUUAAAAUGUACACCUAAUGUUUCUGAUUUAUUUUUCUGAUGCUGGAACAUAAAGGCUUAAUAAAUAAAU